UCCAUCACCUUCCCCGUGUCGAGCCGCACCCCUGACGCCAUCUCGCCCUUCUUGGUUCGCCCGGAAUCUGCAGAUCCGUGUUUGUUCUGUGAGUUCAGCCAUGGCUUCCAGUUCUGAGCUUCGCCUCCCGUGGUUCAAGUCGAUACGGGCCCUUUCCUUGACACGAUCAGACCAACAGCCCAGUGAUCUGGGAGCGUGAUGGGCCUCGGCCAGAUCCGUCCAGCACAGCCCAGCAAACCAGGCCGUCAGCGCAGGCGAGGUUUCGGCCCAGAACCGCGCAGCAUUUGCUUCUUCCCGGAUAGGAUCGCGAAGUGAUGUGGUGAGAUACG